AACUGCAAGAAAAGAUCACAACUGUAUCUCACUUCAGUUCCAGGUGAUGUUGACUAUCAAGUUAAAUGCUUUAACCGAGGCUCCUGUCGAUAACGAAUCAACCAAAAAGGCUGUUUUCCGAAAAAUGAAAGGGACAUCUGCCCCAAAAAAGGAUGACAAUGAAAAAACUAAAGAAUUUAUUGGCCAUGUUAUAGGCGAACUAAAUAAAACAAAUGUUAACAAGGCAAUUCAUGGGAAAGUUUUGAGGCGUUUUGGAAGACAAUAGAGACAAUGCUGCCAGACGAUUCAAGUGAACGAUAAGAAGAACAGGAUUGUGACAAAAUUAAACUUACUUACUCAUAAAACAUAGUUACAUUUACAUGGAGUAAGAUUAUUAAGUCCUCUACUCUGCUAUUGGCAUACCCACCAAGGAAAUGGUAUUUCAUGCCCAGGAAAAACCUGAAAAUGACAAAAUGUUAUUGAGUUUGAAUUUAUGAUUUAU